GACGAACGCUGGCGGCGUGCUUAACACAUGCAAGUCGAACGAUGAAGCUGGAGCUUGCUCCGGUGGAUUAGUGGCGAACGGGUGAGUAACACGUGAGCAAUCUGCCCUUGACUCUGGGAUAACUGCGGGAAACUGUAGCUAAUACCGGAUACUUUCACUGGAAGGCAUCUUCUGGUGAAGUAAGAAUUUCGGUCAAGGAUGAGCUCGCGGCCUAUCAUCUUGUUGGUGAGGUAACGGCUCACCAAGGCGACGACGGGUAGCCGGCCUGAGAGGGUGGCCGGCCACACUGGGACUGAGACACGGCCCAGACGCCUACGGGAGGCAGCAGUGGGGAAUAUUGCACAAUGGGCGCAAGCCUGAUGCAGCAACGCCGCGUGAGGGAUGAAGGCCUUCGGGUUGUAAACCUCUUUUAGCCGGGAAGAAGCGAAAGUGACGGUACCUGCAGAAAAAGCACCGGCUAACUACGUGCCAGCCGCCGCAGUAA
rnacentral:rRNA from 1 species